AUUUAAAUAGUUUAAUAAAAAUAUUGAUUUGUGGUGUCAAAGAUGUUUAAGGACUUUAAAUU
rnacentral:tRNA from 1 species